UAAAGCUCUAUCUACAGAAGUUAAGAAUUUCUGUACGAGGAAUAUCAUACACAAUGUGCAAAAAAUGUUCUUAAGGUAUAACUCAUUAACUAUUCCUUCGCCACCCUUAAUUUCCUACGAGACUCUCCCUCCUUGGAUGAGAGAUAAUUCUUUCAUUCUUCACGGGCACCGUCCUUGUUUAAAAAAAUGGAAUGACGUCUUCCAUAGUUUAUUUUACUUUCAUAACCAGACUUUUAAUAUAUAUUCUCACUUAAUCACGGGUCUCAUAUUUAUUGGAAUGCUACUCCACACCUUAUAUGUUCGCAAGAAUUUUUAUUUUCCGCACUUGCUCUUUUUAUGCAGUGGAACUUUCUGCUUUUUAUCAUCCUCCUUAUUCCACCUUUGCUUUUGUCAUUCACCAGAGAUUCUAGAGCUAGGAAGCCGUUUUGAUUAUAUUGGCAUCCUUAUAAUGAUUUACUCUUCAAGUAAUCUUUUGGCCUUCUACGGCUUAUACGACUGCCAUCUUUACUUGUACUACGGCGGGGCACUUUCCUCGAGCUGUUGCACACUUUUUUGCGUCAGUAUUUGCUGCCGGAAAGGUUCCUGCAAAGCCGCUAAUCGCAGCAAACGUGCUGUUUUGUUUGUCGUGGUUGGUGGCCUCUGCGGCCUUCCUGUUCUGAUUUCGUACUACCUUGCGGGUUAUCCACAGCUUACAAAGAUCUUUCAAGCUCAUCUUGUGCUAUUAGAAGUGGUGAUAUACUGCUUGGGGGCCUGCUUUUUCUCUUGGCUGAUACCCGAAAGAUGGUCCCCCGGAAAAUUCGACUUAAUUUUUAAUAGCCACAACCUACUUCACAUAACCAGCACUACUGCAGGCCUCCUGCACUAUUAUAUUGUUAGGCGUAUCGAUAGUAGUGCUGCUAAUUGGACUUGCCUUACCUUAUAAUUAUUGCCAACCCAACCUCGAAGCAUUGGCCUUAACUUAGAUGAGAAAAAAUAACGUUUUCUUUGCUAGAGUAAAAUUUAACGAGUAAUGAGUAAUUCCUGCCUUCGACCGUUUUCAGCUGUGGAGAUCACGUCAUAAGUGGGAAAGAUAGCGGCUUAUCAACUUGGAAUAUUCAUAACAGGGCUGUGGAAAGAGUGGUUGCUCACUUUGAUUUAAAUUUCGAAGAUGUUCGUUAUGAAGUGAAACUAGUACUUGAAGUUUGUACAGCAGAGAACGUUUAGCA